GCUAGGCGUGGUGGCGCACGCCUGUAAUCCCAGCUACUCAGGAAGCUGAGGUAGGAGAAUCGCUUGAACCCAGGAGGCGGAGGUUGCAGUGAGCCAAGAUCACGUCACUGCACUCCAUCCUGGGAGACAGAGCGAGACUCUGUCUUAA
ensembl:misc_RNA Metazoa_SRP Metazoan signal recognition particle RNA